GCUUGUCUCAAAGAUUAAGCCAUGCAUGUCUAAGUAUAAACGAUUUUAUACGUGAAACUGCGAAUGGCUCAUUAUAUCAGUUAUAGUUUAUUUGAUGGUCUUACUACUUGGAUAACCGUAGUAAUUCUAGAGCUAAUACAUGCACAAAUUCCCGUCAGGGAUGUAUUUAUUAGAUUGAAACCAAUGCGGGGUAACCCGGAAUAUGGUGAAUCAUAAUAACUGUCGUAUCGAGCAAUCGAAGCGCCAUACAAGUUUCUGCCCUAUCAGCUUUGGAUGGUAGGGUAUUGGCCUACCAUGGCUUUAACGGGUAACGGAGAAUUAGGGUUCGAUUCCGGAGAGGGAGCCUGAGAAACGGCUACCACAUCCAAGGAAGGCAGCAGG
rnacentral:rRNA from 1 species